rnacentral:misc_RNA from 1 species
AACGCAAAUUGUACUUUCCAGUAAUCUGGGGAGUAUGCUUGGUUGAGGGUCAUUAAAAUAACAUUCGUGAUUUUUUUUGCGGAUUUGAGUUUUCCAGUAUUUAUUAUUAUAAAUAUAUGUUGGUGACUUUAAAAUUAUUUAUAACUUGGUAAAAGUUGAAAACGUGCUAUAUAUGUGGUUCGCUGACAACUUGUCCAUCUUUAUAUAUUAUGCGCGCACUCUAUUUUUUUGUCUGUACGAGCAUAUAUUUUUUUAUGACCUCAGCUCAAGCAAGAAUACCCGCUGAACUUAA